rnacentral:lncRNA from 1 species
CGCUUCUUCUAGGGGCCGGGGUGAGCGGGAGUCGCCAGCUCCCGCAGGACGGCGGCGGCGGCGUGGGCCGGGGACAACCGGGUCGGGCAUCUCACAGGUCGCACGCGUGCGCCCCUGGAAGAGGCAGGAACCGCACCCGAGCCCCCACGUCGUGGUGGGAGGGGGCGCGGACAGAAAGGAAAGGAAGAGACUGUGGAAGCCAGGUAUGGCCAAGACAGCUUCAGACCUGAGAAACGCCCGAACUUUCCAGCUGGGGAAGCGGCAGGCGGCUCCUUCCACUCCCAGGCCUGGGAGUCCGGGAGAGGGGCUGGGUUGGGUUGGGGUGUGGGGGGAGCAAGAAGACCUAGCGGCCAGACGGAGGUUCCGAGGCUGCCAAGUGGUUGCAGUCUCCAGGCCUGGCUGCAUGGCGAGGCGUCUGAACACGCAGGGGAUGCCAAGCCUUCCAGAUGAAGAGUGGAUCACAGUGCCAACCAUGUGGACGUGGAUCUCCCCCAGAUGGGCUUCAGCACAUCUGGCCCAUCUGUAGCAUUUUCUCCAUCCAGGUGUUCACUUGGCAAGAAACUCCUAAUUCAGAAACCCUUCCAGCAAGGGGAUAAGUUUUUCUAAGCAGCAAGUGACUACAAACACAUCUGCAUUGACAAGUCACAACUUAUAUCCUUCUAUGGUGUUUCUGCUCUUUUGAAAAUGUUAAUAAAAACUUAAUGUGGAAAAAAAACA